rnacentral:rRNA from 1 species
CACCGCGGUUAUACGAGUAGGCCCAAGUCGAUAGCUUCCGGCGUAAAGCGUGGUUAAGGCCUAAAUCUAAACUAAAGUUGAACUCCUUCAAGCAAGUGAAAUGAUCAUCGAUAAGGAGAAGCCCACCUACGAAAGUGACUUUACUUAACCUGACCCCACGAAAGCUAAGGCA